rnacentral:rRNA from 1 species
UUGCGGUUAAAAAGCUCGUAGUUGGAUCUCGGCAAGUAGAGGGCGGUAUGCUUCGUAGCAUUACUGCCCUAUUACUUGUAGUUUUGCCAGAGGUUCCUGGGUGCUCUUAAUCGAGUGUCUAGGGAUGCUGGCAGGUUUACUUUGAAAAAAUUAGAGUGCUCAAAGCAGGCUAUUACGCUUGAAUAUUCGUGCAUGGAAUAAUAGAAUAGGAAGUUGUUUCUAUUUUGUUGGUUUUCGGAAAUCGACUUAAUGAUUAAUAGGGACAGUCGGGGGCAUUUGUAUUCAAACGACAGAGGUGAAAUUCUUGGACCGUUUGAAGACAAACUACUGCGAAAGCAUUUGCCAAGAAUGUUUUCAUUAAUCAAGAACGAAAGUUAGAGGUUCGAAGGCGAUUAGAUACCGCCCUAGUUCUAACCAUAAACGAUGCCAGCUAGCGAUCUGAGGACGUUUUUUUUGUAGACUCCUCAGGAAGCUUCCGGGAAACCCAAAGCGUGUGGGUUCCGGGGGGAAGUAUGGUUGCAAAGCUGAAACUUAAAGGAAUUGACGGAAGGGCCCCACCCUGAGUGGAGCCUGCGGCUUUAUUUGACUCGACCCGGGA